rnacentral:sRNA from 1 species
UGAUACGGUGAUUCGCUCGCUUCUGAG